rnacentral:lncRNA from 1 species
AAAAAAAAAAAAAAAAUUCCCCAGGUGACUGUAAUUCAACUGAGGAUCCCAGGUGGUUUCCAUUUUGCGAACCAACAACCCUACCAAGGAGGGAUUAGCAAUAACUUGUCCCAAGUUUACAGGUGUGGCGGGGUGUGGGGAGGGGGUUCUGGAACAAACUGACGUGGUAGUGACUCUGGGCUCUCCGUGCAUUUAAUCAGAACCCACAUGAGAUUCGUUGAACCAGCAGGUGAGGCACUUUCUGGCUUACGUAGGCCCUGUUUUGGAGGAAGGUAUGAGAAAUAAAGUUCUCGUUUAAAAAAAAGAAGAAAAUUAACUUUGAAUUGUAGAGGUAGACAAGUUAUUUUAAAUAUGUAGGUUCUUUGAGAAUUGUCAGAAGGAAAUUAUCCUUUAUCUUUAAACCUCUAACAUGCUUUAUUUCUGACCUAUUAAAAAUACAAAGCUUGACAACGUCCCAGAGUACUCGUUCCUGCAACAGUGGUUCUCAAUCACCUGUAGUUUUUAUUUUGUGGUUUCCGUUCUCGUGAGUCAUAUUUUAUUGGAUGUAUGUAUUACUUUUUUUUUUAGAAUAUAGUGGAUUUACGGUGUCAUUUCAAUUUCUCAUGUACAGUAUAGUCAGUACAGUGACAGAGUCAUUCAUAUAUAUAUAUAUAUAUAUAUUUUUUUUUUUUUUUUCUCAUACUGCCUUCCAUCACGUUCUAUCCCAAGAGACUGGAUAUAGUUCCCUGUGCUGUUUAGUUUGGUAGAUACAAACUAUUACCUAAGGAGAUGUAUAUUUUUAAAUGAUUUUUAUGUUUUCCAUUGUAGCUGGUUUACAGUGUUCUGUCAUUUCUUACCUGGCAAGAUUUUUAAACUUCAGCUGCCUGGGCCCCCAGAGAGUUGGAUUCAGUUGGUGUGGGUGUGGCUCCCCAGGUGACAUUAAUAUGGGGCCACCACUGAGACUCCUGCCCUAGGAGGUUGCUGGCUGGAGGCAGAGGAUGGCUGGAAAUGGCUGGUGGGCUUGUUAAUCCAGGUGCUGGAUCGCAGUGGGUUCUGCUGUGAUGUUGGUGGCUCUUCCUGUCAUCAUGAUGGCUAUUAAGAGGUUGGCAGAUCCCUCGGCCCCAGGGUGACGCCUUCAGGAGUGGGUGGAUCCAGCUGUUCUCACCAGCCUGGGGGUUAGCGAACCUGAAGGGGCAAGUCUGCCUGUUGCUCAUGGAGUGGGUGGCGUGUAUUGGGGUGCACAGACCCCAGACCCAGUCCAGAGGGGAGAAGGGCAGAGGAGGGAGGUGGGUGCUGACAGCAGCUUCGGAAGCAGCAGCCACAGCUGAGCCCGAGGGGAUUCCCGCCUUGUGGUUUUGCCUCUCAUCUGUUGUCAGGCUGUUGGUAGCUACACCAGCAUCCCUGCCCAGCCCUGGAUGCUCCGGGCACUGGUCCCCGAGAUUCCAGGCCCAGCCAGGUCCCAGGGGUCAGGAUGCUUCUUUUGUUCCAACGAGGGACUUAAUAACCGGCAGAGGCCGACCGGGGCCAACGGGGCCUGGUGGACCUGGGAGAAAUGAAGCCCUCUUUUUGUGCUCCGAGGGUGUGUGUGUGUUUAUUGGCAUCAGCAACUUAAACCUAAACGCUACCUUUGGAUGCGAUCAGCACAGGGAAGUGUUGGGAUGGUUACAGUGCCAAGGAAAUGACAGUUCGCCUGGCAGUCGGACAGCCACUCCUUUAAAGGGCUGAGGCGAGCUUCAGCUUGAGGAGAGGGGCUGUUCAGGACUGCAGCGCGGCCAUCCUCAUUUGGGACUGGGGCAGCCCCUCUAGGGUGAUGCUUCAGACUGGGGAGGGGCCACGGCCUCCAGGGUGACUUUGAGCAAGUCCCUUCCCUGCCAUGACCUUCAGGAGCUCCAGGCCCUGCCGCCCCCUUCUGAGUGUGCAAAGGCAGGGAGCGGGAGAAGCCGGAACUGUGGGCCUACCUUCCUGCCCUCCUGCCACGCUCGACCUACCUGGGGAAAUAGGCUGCCUUCUAGAAAGGUCUGUCUCUAAAAGCAUAGACACUGCGGAGUGUGAUGCCACAUGGCAUUGGUGCUCUGACCUCGGAGGCUCCUCUUUUUGUGGUGCCAGUAAGAGAGGGAUGUCUGCCCAGAGCCCCCCAUAGCGGGGUGGCUGGGAGGAGCAUCCAGGGCCACCCCCGCAGGGUCGCAGUGCUGUGGUCGCGGGAGAUGUGCCUCCCCUGGCCCCCUCUGCUUUGCUGUGCUGCGCGGGCUGUGUUUCGUCUGCAUGGUUUGGAGUCGUCGUCCUCGUGCCUUCUCCUCCCUGUCACUCCUGUACAGGAGUUGCCACUGCCCCCUUUUCUACGUCCUUGCGUUUACCCCGGCCCUUCCCAAGCCCCGUAAAGCGGACACAGCGCCCCACUUGGUGUCCACGGGCUUCCGCCGUGCUCCCCAUGCGCUCACCCACGGGCUCCGGCUCCACUUCCCGCGCUCGCUCUGCCGUGCGGACUCGUUGACCUGGGACCGAAUGCUUCAUUGUGGUUUUUAGCUUGUGGGGCGCAGGCCCACUUAGCCCCUCAUCCAGCCGCCGCCGUUUAGGAGCCCCGCACACUGGAAAAGCCUCGCCUUGUGCAAAACCACUUCUCCCAUAAACCCCUCCCUGCAUCGGUGUGUCAGUAUCUGUCCCCAGCAGGGCGCACCUUUCUAACCGGCCCAGGAGGGCUGUCAUGGGUCUGUGGCUGCUCUGUGGGUCCCACGAGAAUGAACCCCCAGCUUCCAGAAGAAGCUCCAGCUGUGUGGCUCCCAGCACUUUGCAUUGAACCUGGGUUCAAGGCCACUGCCAUCUGGUGUCUAAAUAGCUUUGGACCCCAGGCAGGCACAAGGAAGAAGCUUCCGGGCUGCAUCCCCUGCCUGCCGUUACCAACCAACCACCGAGCCCUUCCUGUAUGCUGAAGGUGCUCAGACCCGGGUGCCAUUAAAUCCCCGUGAUGUCAGACCCAUCUUGAGGGGACCGUGCAUCCUUGAGGACUAGCUCACAGCCUGCUGGCUCCCUUGUCCCGGCUCUUCCCACUUCCUGGGCUGUGUCUCCGGGGCCCGGGUGGGGUGAGCUGCACAUGUGGGCUGGUCCAAGGUUUUGUCAUGUGGCCCUAACGCAUCUCGGGAUCUCCCCAGAGUUUCUGCCCCAGGAGCCUCCUUCUGGAAGCAGGUUUGGCUUUGGGGCUGGGGUGAGACCUCCGCCUCCAGGCUCCAGGGUGGGGAGAGAGAGGUGAGGCUCCGAGGCUGCGUCCCAGGGCCCCGCACUCUCCACCUCCCACCUGCUUCUAGCCCCAAAGGAGCAGGCUCUCGGAGGCAGGCUCCCUUGGGAACGCUCAUGUACAGACCAAGGUGUAAAUAAACACUUUGCUUUUCCUGC